GUGAAUCAUCGAAUUUUUGAACGCAAAUUGCACUCCCUGGUACUCCGGGGAGUAUGCCUGUUUGAGGGUCGUUAGAAUAAAAAAUCGAGGCGUUGUUCUUUUUUUUAAGGGUGAUCGUGUUGGAAUUGAGCCGUCUUUCAAUUGUUAAUUCAUGUCAAAGUGGCUUGAAAUUCAUCAAUCGGGUAUGAUUAAGGCGUAUUUAAGAUCAAUAUUGAUUAAGGAGGGGGGUGGAGGUACUAUUGCAUGUAGUA
rnacentral:misc_RNA from 1 species